rnacentral:rRNA from 1 species
GAGUUUGAUCUUGGCUCAGAUUGAACGCUGGCGGCAGGCCUAACACAUGCAAGUCGAGCGGAUGACGGGAGCUUGCUCCUUGAUUCAGCGGCGGACGGGUGAGUAAUGCCUAGGAAUCUGCCUGGUAGUGGGGGACAACGUUUCGAAAGGAACGCUAAUACCGCAUACGUCCUACGGGAGAAAGCAGGGGACCUUCGGGCCUUGCGCUAUCAGAUGAGCCUAGGUCGGAUUAGCUAGUUGGUGGGGUAAUGGCUCACCAAGGCGACGAUUCGUAACUGGUCUGAGAGGAUGAUCAGUCACACUGGAACUGAGACACGGUCCAGACUCCUACGGGAGGCAGCAGUGGGGAAUAUUGGACAAUGGGCGAAAGCCUGAUCCAGCCAUGCCGCGCGUGUGAAGAAGGUCUUCGGAUUGUAAAGCACUUUAAGUUGGGAGGAAGGGCAGUAAGUUAAUACCUUGCUGUUUUGACGUUACCGACAGAAUAAGCACCGGCUAACUCUGUGCCAGCAG